rnacentral:rRNA from 1 species
GAUGAACGCUGGCGGCGUGCCUAAUACAUGCAAGUCGAGCGAACGGACGAGAAGCUUGCUGCUCUGAUGUUAGCGGAGGACGGGUGAGUAACACGUGGAUAACCUACCUAUAAGACUGGGAUAACUUCGGGAAACCGGAGCUAAUACCGGAUAAUAUUUUGAACCGCAUGGUUCAAAAGUGAAAGACGGUCUUGCGGUCACUUAUAGAUGGAUCCGCGCUGCAUUAGCUAGUUGGGAAGGUAACGGCUUACCACGGCGACGAUGCAUAGCCGACCUGAGAGGGUGAUCGGCCACACUGGAACGUAGACACGGUCAUUAGGCCUACGGGAGGGAGCAGUAGGGAAUCGUACGCAGUGGGCGAAAGCCUGACGGAGUAACGCGGAGUGAGUUAUGAAGGCCUUCGGUGCGUAAAACUCUGUUAUUAGGGAAGAACAUAUGUGUAAGGAACCGUGCACAGCGUGACGGUACCUAAUAAGAAAGCCACGGCUAACUACGUG